rnacentral:rRNA from 1 species
GAUGAACGCUGGCGGCGUGCCUAACACAUGCAAGUCGAGCGAAGCACUUUGCUUAGAUUCUUCGGAUGAAGAGGAUUGUGACUGAGCGGCGGACGGGUGAGUAACGCGUGGGUAACCUGCCUCAUACAGGGGGAUAACAGUUAGAAAUGACUGCUAAUACCGCAUAAGACCACAGCACCGCAUGGUGCGGGGGUAAAAACUCCGGUGGUAUGAGAUGGACCCGCGUCUGAUUAGCUAGUUGGUAAGGUAACGGCUUACCAAGGCGACGAUCAGUAGCCGACCUGAGAGGGUGACCGGCCACAUUGGGACUGAGACACGGCCCAAACUCCUACGGGAGGCAGCAGUGGGGAAUAUUGCACAAUGGGGGAAACCCUGAUGCAGCGACGCCGCGUGAGCGAAGAAGUAUUUCGGUAUGUAAAGCUCUAUCAGCAGGGAAGAAAAUGACGGUACCUGACUAAGAAGCC